UGUAGGGUUUGUGAGUCUGGAUAUUGAGAAGGGCUUUCUUCCCUUUCAUAUAUGAUUGGAGGUGAAAGCCUGAAACCCUGACUGGCCCUCUCUGUUGGCUUCCUCUCCCAGAAGGUCUUCCUCUGGAGUGGGGGCUCAGGCACUCCACAUUCUGUCUCAUCAACGUAGCAGUUCUGCAGAAUUCUGGUACAUUGCCUCUAGUUGAGUCCAUUUUGCCUGAAUUUAGACAAGUCUGUUUCUGCUGCAAAACACUGUGGCCAAGAGGAAAAAGCACUCCUCUUCCCUUGUCUCAUAACCCUCUUCUGUUGUAUUCUGAGGCCCUAGUACUGAGUUGGUCGAGAGAUGGCCUAUAAAUACUAACAACACAACAGGUGAUGAGCUACACAGAGACAAUUCUGUAAGAAAGAUCUGAGGUGCUUCUGGAAGGAGAAACGGAUACAAAGGAGUCAGAAUCUGAGAUAGCAUACAUACACAAACACAUGUGUCCUUAAAGACAGUACAAAUGAUUGCUAAAACAAAUUACCUGCUUUACAGGCUUGUUCUUUUUAAAUCUAAGGUCCCACCCACAAUAUAUCCAAGUCUUCCUGAAUUUUCCAUCCUUCUGCCUUAGCCUAUAGGCUGCCAGCUUAAGGCAUGAAUGACCAUUCUACUGGAUCUACUUUUAAAAUGACAUACCAAGCCACUAUUGGAAGGAAGUACUUGGACUAUACCAUAGCAGUGUCCAAUCUUGGCUCCCAUUUUUGAUCAUUCUCCCACUAGGGAUUUUUUUUUAAAGGAAAUUGGGAAAUGGAGUAGAGUAUGGGAUACAGGCUGUUGCUUAGAACAGUGUGAAGAAAUCUUUUCUUGGGAAUUCCCCCGGUUUCUGAAAGACUAGAAAUUAGGUGGCUGAUUCAUUCACUCAUUAACAAUAGGGAGAAUGCUCUGAGAUCCCAAGCCAUCCUAAGUCCAGCAGAGCCUCCCUAAUACCUGGUCUUGCAAAAUGCCUCUGAAAUUUCAGGGGUGUUUACUGGCAUUUGUUCUCAUCGUAUGCUAAUACACCUAUAUCAUAGGAAUUUGUUUGUGCACCAUGGAUGUUGGUAGAAUUUGUUUUGAAGCACAACCAGCUUUACUUAAGUAACCCAGAACAGUCAACUCAGAUGACGUAACAUGUUCACUUUUGAUGCCUACCUUUUUAGUUUCAACUUUCAGACAAGCUAAUCUACUAUGGUGUCUAGGUUGAAACUGCACAAGGACGUGUUCCUAUAGUGCACAUUUGUGAUCUCUGAAAAAUCUCUCUGGAUUCUGAUUAAUCAAGGCAGGUGUGUCCUCAAGACUUUGUACACAUGAACAAAAGGCCAUGACUCUUUUCUUUAGAGUGUUUUUUUAAAUUCCCUUUGUAAACAAACACCCUGAGGAUGUAUUCCUGUCUCAUUUUUCAUAUUUACAGCAACAUUUUAUAAAUAUAAAAUUUGUCUGCGAAG
rnacentral:lncRNA from 1 species